AGUUGGUGAUGUGGACAUUUACGGAGCAGAUCCCUAAAGCGCUCCCAAGUCUCGAAAAAGAGUUCCCUAUCUAUCUGUGAGAAACUUGUGAUGGCUCUCCAAAACU